rnacentral:rRNA from 1 species
AACGAACGCUGGCGGCAGGCUUAACACAUGCAAGUCGAACGCAUCCUUCGGGGUGAGUGGCAGACGGGUGAGUAACGCGUGGGAACGUGCCCUUCAGUUCGGGAUAACCCAGGGAAACUUGGGCUAAUACCGGAUACGUGCGAGAGCAGAAAGAUUUAUCGCUGAAGGAUCGGCCCGCGUCUGAUUAGCUAGUUGGUGGGGUAAGGGCCCACCAAGGCGCUGAUCAGUAGCUGGUCUGAGAGGAUGAUCAGCCACAUUGGGACUGGGACACGGGCCAAACUCCGACGGGAGGCAGCAGUGGGGAAUAUUGGACAAUGGGCGCAAGCCUGAUCCAGCCAUGCCGCGUGGGUGAUGAAGGCCUUAGGGUUGAAAAGCUCUUUCGUCCGAGACGAUAAUGACGGUACCGGAAGAAGAAGCCCCGGCUAACUUCGUGCCAGCAGCCGCCGUAA